GAGAGAGAGAGAGAGAGAGAUGCAAUGCUACGUGCAUGGAAGACAAUCCAUAAACUCAAUCAGUUGCUAACUGCCCACCUACCUCUUGUAAUUAAUUACCAUCACAGCAUUCAACUCGAACACAUACCAAACAUUCAAUGAAUUACACAAAUUUUUUGAUAACCAUAGCAAAUGGAAAAUGAAUUAAAAUCUAAACCUACAUAUGUGAUAUGUCAGCUGGAAAAAGACACUAUCACGGGGGACAUCAAAAUUUAGAACACAGGAUUUAAUUUCCUAUAUAAUUAUAUUAGCUAUAAGUACAGAAAAUGAAGAAACUAAAACCAAUAAAUUCCAGCCAUCAAAUACUUGUUAUGCUAAACUUUACGAUCCACAUCAACAAUCUUAUUACUUAACGGAAAUAUCAUAAAUAAAAUCAGUUAAAAUACGAACCUAAAGAAAAAAAAAAUAACUCAAGCAAUCCAACACAAAAGACACCACAAAAUUAGCAUUAAGAACAAAAAAAAUGAAAAUACG
rnacentral:misc_RNA from 1 species